GGCGCUAUGACCGAGUGGUUUAAGGUGACAGAUUUGAAUUUUCAUUAUCUGUUGUGAUUUUCACGCGCAGGUUCGAACCCUGCUGGCGUCG